GAUGAACGCUGGCGGCGUGCCUAAUACAUGCAAGUCGAGCGAACAGACGAGAAGCUUUCUCCUCUGCCGUUAGCGGCGGACGGGUGAGUAACACGUGGAUAACCUACCUAUUAUACUGGGAUAACUUCGGGAAACCGGUGCUAAUACCAGCUCAUAUAUUGAACCGCAUGGUUCAAUAGUGCAACACGGCUUUGCCGUUACUUAUAGAUGGUUCCGCGCCGCAUUAGCUAGUUGGUAAGGUAACGGCUUACCAAGGCAACGAUGCGUAGCUGACCUGAGAGGGUGAUCAGCCACACUGGAACUGAGACACGGUCCAGACUCCUACGGGAGGCAGCAGUAGGGAAUAUUCCGCAAUGGGCGAAAGCCUGACGGAGCAACGCCGCGUGAGUGAUGAAGGUCUUCGGAUCGUAAAACUCUGUUAUUAGGGAAGAACAAAUGUGUAAGUAACUAUGCACGUCUUGACGGUACCUAAUCAGAAAGCCACGGCUAACUACGUG
rnacentral:rRNA from 1 species